rnacentral:rRNA from 1 species
AUGAGUCUUUUUGCCUGGAACUGUCGAGGACUGGGGUUGGACUCGACAGUGGGCAAGCUUCGAGACCUGAUACGGUCAUACAACCCAGCGGUGGUGUUCUUAUCAGAGACAAAAAAAUCGGCAAAAGCUAUGGAGAGGUUAAAGUGGAGUUUGGGUUUCAGCCAUGGAGUGGCAGUGAGUUGUAUGGGCAAAAGUGGAGGGCUAGCGUUGUGG